rnacentral:rRNA from 1 species
UUGAACGCUGGCGGCAUGCCUAACACAUGCAAGUCGAACGGCAGCAUGGUCUAGUUUACUAGACUGAUGGCGAGUGGCGGACGGGUGAGUAACGCGUAGGAAUAUACCUUAAAGAGGGGGAUAACUUGGGGAAACUCAAGCUAAUACCGCGUAAGUUCUGAGGAAGAAAGCUGGGGACCUUCGGGCCUGGCGCUUUAAGAAUGGCCUGCGUACGAUUAGCUAGUUGGUGAGGUAAGGGCUCACCAAGGCGACGAUCGUUAGCUGGUCUGGGAGGAUGGCCAGCCACACUGGGACUGAGACACGGCCCAGACUCCUACGGGAGGCAGCAGUGGGGAAUAUUGGACAAUGGGGGGAACCCUGAUCCAGCAAUGCCGCGGGUGUGAAGAAGGCCUGAGGGUUGUAAAGCACUUUCAGUGGGGAGGAGGACUUGGAGGCUAAGAGCUAUCAAGUUGGACGUUACCCACAGAAGAAGUACCGGCUAACUCCGUGCCAGCCGCCGCGGUAA